UGAGGGAAAGGCGAAAAGAACCCCGGCGAGGGGAGUGAAAAAGAACCUGAAACCGUGUACGUACAAGCAGUGGGAGCACCCUUUGGGGUGUGACUGCGUACCUUUUGUAUAAUGGGUCAGCGACUUAUAUUCUGUAGCAAGGUUAACCGAAUAGGGGAGCCGGAGGGAAACCGAGUCUUAACCGGGCGUUAAGUUGCAGGGUAUAGACCCGAAACCCGGUGAUCUAGCCAUGGGCAGGUUGAAGGUUGGGUAACACUAACUGGAGGACCGAACCGACUAAUGUUGAAAAAUUAGCGGAUGACCUGUGGCUGGGGGUGAAAGGCCAAUCAAACCGGGAGAUAGCUGGUUCUCCCCGAAAGCUAUUUAGGUAGCGCCUCGUGAAUUCAUCUCCGGGGGUAGAGCACUGUUUCGGCUAGGGGGCCAUCCCGGCUUACCAACCCGAUGCAAACUGCGAAUACCGGAGAAUGUUAUCACGGGAGACACACGGCGGGUGCUAACGUCCGUCGUGAAGAGGGAAACAACCCAGACCGCCAGCUAAGGUCCCAAAGUCAUGGUUAAGUGGGAAACGAUGUGGGAAGGCCCAGACAGCCAGGAUGUUGGCUUAGAAGCAGCCAUCAUUUAAAGAAAGCGUAAUAGCUCACUGGUCGAGUCGGCCUGCGCGGAAGAUGUAACGGGGCUAAACCAUGCACCGAAGCUGCGGCAGCGACACUCAGGUGUUGUUGGGUAGGGGAGCGUUCUGUAAGCCUGCGAAGGUGGCCUGUGAGGGUUGCUGGAGGUAUCAGAAGUGCGAAUGCUGACAUAAGUAACGAUAAAGCGGGUGAAAAGCCCGCUCGCCGGAAGACCAAGGGUUCCUGUCCAACGUUAAUCGGGGCAGGGUGAGUCGACCCCUAAGGCGAGGCCGAAAGGCGUAGUCGAUGGGAAACGGGUUAAUAUUCCCGUACUUGGUGUUACUGCGAAGGGGGGACGGAGAAGGCUAUGUUGGCCGGGCGACGGUUGUCCCGGUUUAAGCGUGUAGGUGUGUGUUCCAGGUAAAUCCGGUUCACUUUAACACUGAGGCGUGACGACGAGGCACUACGGUGCUGAAGCAACAAAUGCCCUGCUUCCAGGAAAAGCCUCUAAGCAUCAGGUAACAUCAAAUCGUACCCCAAACCGACACAGGUGGUCAGGUAGAGAAUACCAAGGCGCUUGAGAGAACUCGGGUGAAGGAACUAGGCAAAAUGGUGCCGUAACUUCGGGAGAAGGCACGCUGACAUGUAGGUGAAGUGAUUUACUCAUGGAGCUGAAGUCAGUCGAAGAUACCAGCUGGCUGCAACUGUUUAUUAAAAACACAGCACUGUGCAAACACGAAAGUGGACGUAUACGGUGUGACGCCUGCCCGGUGCCGGAAGGUUAAUUGAUGGGGUCAGCGCAAGCGAAGCUCCUGAUCGAAGCCCCGGUAAACGGCGGCCGUAACUAUAACGGUCCUAAGGUAGCGAAAUUCCUUGUCGGGUAAGUUCCGACCUGCACGAAUGGCGUAAUGAUGGCCAGGCUGUCUCCACCCGAGACUCAGUGAAAUUGAACUCGCUGUGAAGAUGCAGUGUACCCGCGGCAAGACGGAAAGACCCCGUGAACCUUUACUAUAGCUUGACACUGAACAUUGAGCCUUGAUGUGUAGGAUAGGUGGGAGGCUUUGAAGUGUGG
rnacentral:rRNA from 1 species